UACAGAGGUCUCGAGCGUUAGGCGGAAUCACUGGGCUCAAAGCGUGUGUAGGUGGAUGCCUAAGUACCUUGUGAAAUCCCACGGCUUAACCGUGGAACUGCUUGGUAUACUGGGUGUCUUGAGUCACUCAGGGGCGAGCGGAACAAAUGGUGGAGCGGUGAAAUGCGUAGAUAUCAUUUGGAACGCCAAUGGUGAAAACAGCUCGCUGGGGGUGCACUGACACUGAGACACGAAAGCCAGGGGAGCGAACGGG
rnacentral:rRNA from 1 species